ACAUGUCUCCAAAUCAUCACAGCAUUCCCUAGGCCUGUCAUAGUGUCCCGUGCUAGAGCAAUCUGUGGCCCCGAACCAUUGCCUGGCCUCUGCCUGUAUGCUACUGGCACUGAAGUGGGUCGCACAGUG